rnacentral:lncRNA from 1 species
UGAACUCCUAUAGAUCACCGACACUUCACUUUACCACCAAGGUCGAUCGAUUUAUGUGUUCUUGGGUGAUCGAUAGCAUUACAUAUCUAGAAUUAUUUGCUCACGACACAUUCACCAAUUCACGCCUAGUCCAAUCACUUGGACCGCAAACUGGCAACCUAACUGCUUCUUUGACCAGCCAAGUUUGAAAACAUUGGCG